UGCCUCUGUAUUUAUGCCCUGCAAUAUGUGCUGCAAAAUAUGCUGCUAGUGCAGUUUCUUUAAGUUUUAAUUGUAGCAGGGGGAGGUGGAGGGGGAAAAUUGAAUUAGCCUUUUUUCUUUCUGGAGAAUGUGUUGGUAUUAGCCCUGGUGGAUGAGUUGUUUAAAUUUUGAGAAGACUAAUCUUUUGCCUCUGUAUUUAUGCCCUGCAAUAUGUGCUGCAAAAUAUGCUGCUAGUCCAGUUUGUGUAAGUUUUAAUUCUAGCAGGGGGAUGGGGAGGGGGAAAAUUGAAUUAGCCUUUUUUCUUUCUGGAGAAUGUGUUGGUAUUAGCUCUGGUGGAUGAGUUGUUUAAAUUUGUAGAAGAGUAAUCUUUUGCCUCUGUAUUUAUGCCCUGCAAUAUGUGCUGCAAAAUAUGCUGCUAGUGCAGUUUGUGUAAGUUUUAAUUCUAGCAGUGGGAGGGGGAGGGGAAAAAUUGAAUUAGCCUUUUUCCUUUCUGGAGAAUGUGUUGGUAUUAGCCCUGGUGGAUGAGUUGUUUAAAUUUGGACAAGUGUAAUCUUUUGCCUCUGUAUUUAUGCCCUGCAAUAUGUGCUGCAAAAUAUGCUGCUAGUGCAGUUUCUGUUAGUUUUAAUUCUAGCAAUUAAGUUUGGUUUUAGUCCCUCUCUUUUUCAUCUCUUUCUCUUCUCUCUCUGAAACCCUAGCCUCAUGUCUACUUGAUGAAUAACAAUCCACUGAAACCCUAACCGCCAUCACUAUUUUCUCCAUUUUUUCUUUUCCCCUUCGAAUUAGUUUUACAUCUAAAAAUAAAUUGUAUAUUAUAUAUAUUUUUUUCUUUUCUUUGAACCAUCACCAACGCAACCAUCUCUCUUUGCAUUGUAUAUAAAUAGCUCCAAAAUCAAAGAAUCAACUUUUUUUUCAAUCUCAAUUUGGAUAGAAAGUGGUUUGGUCAUUUUUUCUUUGACUUACCAUAUCAAGUUAUUUGACAAUUUUGUAUUUUGAUUCUAUAACGUGUUUUACAUUAGAAUCUAAAUCUGAUUGCUUCUAUAUUAUUAUUUCUGGUUUUUAUGAAUCCUAUUCGCCUGUUAUGUUUAUUAGUUACAUUUCAAAUUGGGAUAAACUUUUAAUUAUUCUAUCAAAUAUGAUGUUGUUGCCUUCAAGUAUCUAGUUAUUAUUGGCUUCAGAUCAUAUUUAUUUAUUUUGAUAUAGAUAAUUAUGUGCAAAUUAUAUGAACAGGGCCAUCCACAUUUACUUUGAAUGAGGCUGUUAUCUAUAAUGUUGAAUAAAAGAGGUCUCUGCUGCGCUUUAGUUCUG
rnacentral:lncRNA from 1 species